rnacentral:rRNA from 1 species
UACAGAGACUGCAAGCGUUAUUCGGAUUUACUGGGCGUAAAGGGCGCGCAGGCGGCCGUGUGUGUCAGGUGUGAAAUCCCGAGGCUCAACCUCGGAACUGCGGCUUAAACUACAUGGCUAGAGUAUUGGAGAGGGUAACGGAAUUCACGGUGUAGCAGUGAAAUGCGUAGAUAUCGUGAGGAACACCAGAGGCGAAGGCGGUUACCUGGACAAUUACUGACGCUGAGGCGCGAAAGCGUGGGGAGCAAAAGGG